ensembl:lncRNA
GGUAGAUAAUCCCAGUGGAGAGAGGGGGCGGUUCGUCUCUCCAGUGCCUUGCUGUUCCCCUUAUCUCCCCUGGGCCAGACUACACUCAAUCAUAGGACCUACUGAAGCGAUGAGUCUUCAGUAAAGACUUAAAGGUUGAGACCAAGUCUGCAUCUCUCACAUGGAUAGGCAGACCAUUCCAUAAAAAUUGAGCUCUAUAGGAGAAAGCCCUGCCUUCAGCUGUUUGCUUAGAAAUCCUGGGAACAAUAGGAGCCCUGCGUCUUGUGACCGUAGCAUACAUGUAGCUGAGGAGGACCUGAGACUUAUGACCAUCGGGAUUACUCCUGGCUGGCCCCAGUCCAUCUGGUCAUGCGGCUGAUCCCGAUCUGCUGUUUUGCCUGUGGCUAUGGAACCCUGACCUGUUCACCAGACGUGCGAUCUUGUCCCGGACCUGCUGUUUCGACCUUCUUUCUCUCUCUCGCUCUCUCUACCACACCUGCUGUCUUGACCUCUGAAUGCUUGGCUAUUAAAAGCCAACUGACAUUUACUCCUGACGUGCUGACCUGUUGCACCCUUUAUAACCACUGAUAUUAUUAUUUGAACCUGCUGGUCAUGUAUGAACAUCUUGUAAAAUGAUCUGGCAUUAAUGGCCAUGUACUCUGAUAAUCUCCACCCAGCACAGUCAGAAGAGUUACCCCUCUGAGCUUGGUUCCUUCCUAGGUUUCUUCUUAGCUUCCUGCCCUUCUAGGGUGUUUUUCCUUGUCACUGUGUUUCUGUAUCUGCAUUACUUGCUCUUUGGGGUUUUAGGCUGGGUAUCUCUACAAGCACUUUGUGACAACUGCUGAUGUAAAAAGGGCUUUGUAAAAUAAAUGUAAUUGAUUGAGAAGGUGUAUGACAUAAAUACAUUGAGUUUACUGACUAAAUAUAUGAAGACGUUCUUUAAUUGAGUCUCCAAUGUGGGAUAAAUUACAUUAUUAUGUAUGCGAUGUGUAUUUUCAAAAUAGUACAUAUUUGAAACUGUAUGUUAAACUUUCAUUUAGUCUCCAAUAUGC